GCAAAACAAUGCGCCUCCUCAGGAGGGCAAUUAUUUUCCAGUGAGGCAUGGAGAAGGAGAACCAGAACCAGACGUCACAGAGCCCAGUGACCCAGAAGAAUUCUGCGAAAAUAAAAGUGUCAGAUAUGAGUUUAUGGGAAAGGUUUUUUUAAUUUUGUCGGCCCAGAUAUUAUUCAUGAUGUCCAUCGUAGCUGUGUUCAUGUUCAU